CCAGGAUGAAGGUGCGGUAACACGCACUGGAGGUCCGAACCCACGUCUGUUGCAAAAGACGGGGAUGAGCUGUGGAUAGGGGUGAAAGGCUAAACAAAUCCGGAAAUAGCUGGUUCUCUCCGAAAACUAUUUAGGUAGUGCCUCGAGAUUACACUGACGGGGGUAGAGCACUGUUAUGGCUAGGGGGUCAUUGCGAUUUACCAACCCAUGGCAAACUCCGAAUACCGUCAAGUGCGUCCUCGGGAGACAGACAGCGGGUGCUAACGUCCGUUGUCAAGAGGGAAACAACCCAGACCGCCAGCUAAGGUCCCAAAUGACAUGCUAAGUGGUAAACGAAGUGGGAAGGCCAAGACAGCCAGGAUGUUGGCUUAGAAGCAGCCAUCAUUCAAAGAAAGCGUAAUAGCUCACUGGUCGAGUCGUCCUGCGCGGAAGAUGUAACGGGGCUCAAGCAUGUAACCGAAGCUGCGGAUGCGUACUUGUACGCAUGGUAGGAGAGCGUUCUGUAGGCCUGCGAAGGUGGUGGUGUAAACCCUGCUGGAGGUAUCAGAAGUGCGAAUGCUGACAUGAGUAGCGAUAAAGCGGGUGAAAGUCCCGCUCGCCGAAAACCCAAGGUUUCCUACGCAACGUUCAUCGGCGUAGGGUGAGUCGGCCCCUAAGGCGAGGCAGAAAUGCGUAGUCGAUGGGAAACGGGUCAAGAUUCCCGUACCGGUUGUGAAUGCGAUGGGGGGACGGAGAAGGGUAGCUCAGCGGCCUGUUGGAAUAGGUCGUUUAAGCGUGUAGGAGUGGUCUCCUGGCAAAUCCGGAGAUCUUAUCUGAGGCGUGAUGACGAGGGUCUACGGACCUGAAGUGAGUAAUCCCAAGCUUCCAGGAAAAGCCUCUAAGCUUCAGUUCACAACUGACCGUACCGCAAACCGACACAGGUGGGUAGGUAGAGAAUACCAAGGCGCUUGAGAGAACUCGGGUUAAGGAACUCGGCAAAUUGACACCGUAACUUCGGGAGAAGGUGUGCCCCGGUAGCGUGUAGGACUUCGCGUCCGAAGCGUGAUGGGGUCGCAGAGAAUAGGUGGCUGCGACUGUUUAAUAAAAACACAGCUCUGUGCCAACACGAAAGUGGACGUAUACGGAGUGACGCCUGCCCGGUGCCGGAAGGUUAAGUGAUGGGGUGCAAGCUCUUGAUCGAAGCCCCGGUAAACGGCGGCCGUAACUAUAACGGUCCUAAGGUAGCGAAAUUCCUUGUCGGGUAAGUUCCGACCCGCACGAAUGGCGUAACGAUGGCCACACUGUCUCAACCCGAGACUCAGCGAAGUUGAAAUGUUUGUGAAGAUGCAAUCUCCCCGCUGCUAGACGGAAAGACCCCGUGAACCUUUACUGUAGCUUUGCAUUGGACUUUGAACAGGCUUGUGUAGGAUAGGUGGGAGGCUUUGAAGCUGAGACGCUAGUUUCAGUGGAGCCGUCCUUGAAAUACCACCCUGGUGUGUUUGAGGUUCUAACCUGGGUCCAUCAUCUGGAUCGGGGACCGUGCAUGGUAGGCAGUUUGACUGGGGCGGUCUCCUCCCAAAGUGUAACGGAGGAGUUCGAAGGUUACCUAGGUACGGUCGGACAUCGUACUGAUAGUGCAAUGGCAAAAGGUAGCUUGACUGCGAGACCGACAAGUCGAGCAGGUGCGAAAGCAGGACAUAGUGAUCCGGUGGUUCUGAAUGGAAGGGCCAUCGCUCAACGGAUAAAAGGUACUCCGGGGAUAACAGGCUGAUUCCGCCCAAGAGUUCAUAUCGACGGCGGAGUUUGGCACCUCGAUGUCGGCUCAUCACAUCCUGGGGCUGUAGCCGGUCCCAAGGGUAUGGCUGUUCGCCAUUUAAAGUGGUACGUGAGCUGGGUUUAAAACGUCGUGAGACAGUUUGGUCCCUAUCUGCAGUGGGCGUUGGAAGUUUGAGGGGGGCUGCUCCUAGUACGAGAGGACCGGAGUGGACGCAUCUCUGGUGUACCGGUUGUGACGCCAGUCGCAUCGCCGGGUAGCUAUAUGCGGAAGAGAUAAACGCUGAAAGCAUCUAAGCGUGAAACUCGCCUCAAGAUGAGACUUCCCUGGAGACUUGAUCUCCCUGAAGGGCCGUGGAAGACCACCACGUUGAUAGGUCGGGUGUGGAAGCGCAGUAAUGCGUUAAGCUAACCGAUACUAAUUACCCGUGAGGCUUGAUCCU
rnacentral:rRNA from 1 species